AUUAGGCAGCAGUAGGGAGUUUUCGGCAAUGGGGGAAACCCUGACCGAGCAACGCCGCGUGAGUGAUGAAGGUCUUCGGAUUGUAAAGCUCUGUUAUAAGGGAAGAACGGCAGCUAGAGGAAAUGCUAGCUGUUUGACGGUACUUUAUGAGAAAGCCACGGCUAACUACGUGCCAGCAGCCGCGGUAAUAAU
rnacentral:rRNA from 1 species